GCUGGGCUAUAGCUGGGAUUACGGACCAGAUGCAGAUAAUCUGUUUUUGUGAGGUGGGACUCAGCACAGCACAUUUCCCCCCGGAGCCCUAGACACGUCCGUGGGAAACACCUGCCUGCCACCAAUGCACGAAGCCGCAAGCCCGCCCUUUGCCUGCGGAGUGCAGGUGCGCCCCCGGCAAGCGGCAGCGGGGUCUCGCAGCCCGCCGGGCGGGUACGAGCUUAUUAGAGACACUGAAUCAUGUUGGGAAUGACUGUGAUCAACAUCCUGCUCCCUGCUGUGAUGCAAAUGCAUGGAAAUAUCUGAAAACUAGAACUUCUUCAGGAACUCCUGGAUAAAGUAGGAAGUAGCUGUAAGAAUAAUGCACUGAAUAAAGCAGUGGGUAAGGAUUUCUUCCUAGUCUGUCAGCACUUAACAGCUAGCAGAUGAAGAAAGGCAAAAGUUUACUGAUCCAUGAGAGGACCUUCUUUCUUAUCGCAUGUCUGCCCACUUUGGUUUUUGCCUUUGGUGUCGGACCUUGUCAAAGGCUUUCUGAAAGACCAGAUGCACUAUAUCAGCUGGAUCACCCCUCUCCACAUAUUUGUUGACCCCCUAAAAGAAUUCUAAUAAAUAGAUGAUAGAUUGAUGAAGCAUGAUUACAAAAGCCAUUUUGUGACUGUUCCCUAACACAGUGUUUCCCAAACUUGGGAUACCACUUGUGUAGGGAAAG